rnacentral:rRNA from 1 species
GCCUACGGCCAUACCACCAUGAAAGCGCCCGAUCUCGUCUGAUCUCGGAAGCUAAGCAGGGAUGGGCCUGGAUGGGAGACCGCCUGGGAAUACCAGGUGUUGUAGGCU